AACGAACGCUGGCGGCAUGCCUAACACAUGCAAGUCGAACGAGACCUUCGGGUCUAGUGGCGCACGGGUGCGUAACGCGUGGGAAUCUGCCCUUGGGUUCGGAAUAACAGUUGGAAACGACUGCUAAUACCGGAUGAUGACGUAAGUCCAAAGAUUUAUCGCCCAAGGAUGAGCCCGCGUAGGAUUAGCUAGUUGGUGAGGUAAAGGCUCACCAGGGCGACGAUCCUUAGCUGGUCUGAGAGGAUGAUCAGCCACACUGGGACUGAGACACGGCCCAGACUCCUGCAGGAGGCAGCAGUGGGGAAUAUUGGACAAUGGGCGAAAGCCUGAUCCAGCAAUGCCGCGUGAGUGAUGAAGGCCUUAGGGUUGUAAAGCUCUUUUACCCGGGAUGAUAAUGACAGUACCGGGAGAAUAAGCUCCGGCUAACUCCGUG
rnacentral:rRNA from 1 species